rnacentral:ribozyme from 1 species
GGGGUGUGAGAAAGCGGGAGGUGGGGCGACGGUGUGAGGAGAGACGGAAGGCGCGAAAGGAAAGUAGGGAACUCGGUCAGAAUCUGUCAGAAAGAAAACACAUUCUUUCAUUCAUUCAUUCAUUCCAGAAGAAAAAAAAGAGACAGCGCAUCAAAAUCAAGAAAGGAUGGAAAGGAACGAGGGGGGAGAAGAAACAAUUGCAAAGGUCCUUUUGUCCUCUCCCCUUCACUGUUCUAUGCGCCCUACGAACAGAAAGACAACACAAAAGAAAACAGACUGACUGCCCAACUGACGGAGUUUUCC